AGCGGCGGACGGGUGAGUAACGCAUGGGUAACCUGCCCUGUACACACGGAUAACAUACCGAAAGGUAUGCUAAUACGAGAUAAUAUGCUUUUAUCGCAUGGUAGAAGUAUCAAAGCUUUUGCGGUACAGGAUGGACCCGCGUCUGAAUAGCUAGUUGGUAAGGUAACGGCUUACCAAGGCGACGAUCAGUAGCCGACCUGAGAGGGUGAUCGGCCACAUUGGAACUGAGACACGGUCCAAACUCCUACGGGAGGCAGCAGUGGGGAAUAUUGCACAAUGGGCGAAAGCCUGAUGCAGCAACGCCGCGUGAGCGAUGAAGGCCUUCGGGUCGUAAAGCUCUGUCCUCAAGGAAGAUAAUGACGGUACUUGAGGAGGAAGCCCCGGCUAACUACGUGCCAGCAGCCGCGGUAAUACGUAGGGGGCUAGCGUUAUCCGGAAUUACUGGGCGUAAAGGGUGCGUAGGUGGUUUCUUAAGUCAGAGGUGAAAGGCUACGGCUCAACCGUAGUAAGCCUUUGAAACUGGGAAACUUGAGUGCAGGAGAGGAGAGUGGAAUUCCUAGUGUAGCGGUGAAAUGCGUAGAUAUUAGGAGGAACACCAGUUGCGAAGGCGGCUCUCUGGACUGUAACUGACACUGAGGCACGAAAGCGUGGGAGCAAACAGGAUUAGAUACCCUGGUAGUCCAUGCCGUAAACGAUGAGUGCUAAGUGU
rnacentral:rRNA from 1 species